rnacentral:tRNA from 1 species
GGGGGAGUGCCCGAGUGGCCAAUGGGAGCGGGCUGUAAACCCGUCGGCGAAGCCUUCGCAGGUUCAAAUCCUGCCUCCCCCACAA